AUUCAUUUAUUAUAAAAAGUAUAUCAGGCUUCCAACUUGAAGGUUUAUUAAUUAAAAUGAGUA
rnacentral:tRNA from 1 species